UACGUAGGGUGCAAGCGUUGUCCGGAAUUAUUGGGCGUAAAGAGCUCGUAGGCGGUUUGUCGCGUCUGCUGUGAAAACUCAGGGCUUAACUCUGAGCUUGCAGUGGGUACGGGCAGACUAGAGUGCGGUAGGGGAGACUGGAAUUGCUGGUGUAGCGGUGAAAUGCGUAGAGAUCAGCAGGAACACCCGUGGCGAAGGCGGCCCCCUGGGCCGUACCUGACGCUGAGGCGCGAAGGCUAGGGGAGCGAACGGG
rnacentral:rRNA from 1 species